UUUUUUUUGAAUAGCUGGAGGUUUUGGGCCGAAGCCCGUAAUCCCCCCAGGACCGAAACCACAGCAUGUAAUAUUAGUUUCGUUCCAAGCGUUACUCGAACCGGCGACCUUAAGCUUCUUCACAUAUCAGUUUUUGUUUUUCUAUCUUCAAAACUUUAUCCCGAAAGUAAGAACUUAUGUUUUUGGUGUAGGCAUGGAAAAGAUGGGUUGAAGGAAAGCCUGAGAUUAUAAUUGAUCCGUUCUUAAUAGAGAAUCCAAG
rnacentral:sRNA from 1 species